AAGUCGUAACAAGGUUUCCGUAGGUGAACCUGCGGAAGGAUCAUUAUUACGUUAUCCAACGUCAAACCCAAUUGUGAAAUGUUUAAAAAUCAGGGAUGAAGUGAGAAUAUUUGCGACAAAGAGUUUGUGACUUUUAACAGUGGUCUUUGUCGGUCCUAGUGACGCAAGUUAGUUACUAGCUCACUUUGUUUCUGUUAACUCCCAAUUCCCGUCAUAAACAAUUGCUAUUUUAAAUUUUAACCCCAAGUACAAAAUUGAACUAAAUUUUUUUGGAUGUUUCUUCAGUGAAAGCAUCUCAAAACAAACCGAAAUUAAGAAAACAACUCUUAACAGCGGAUAUCUUGGUUCUC
rnacentral:misc_RNA from 1 species